GAUGAACGCUGGCGGCGUGCCUAAUACAUGCAAGUCGAGCGAACGGACGAGAAGCUUGCUUCUCUGAUGUUAGCGGCGGACGGGUGAGUAACACGUGGAUAACGUACCUAUAAGACUGGGAUAACUUCGGGAAACCGGAGCUAAUACCGGAUGAUAUUUUGAACCGCAUGGUUCAAAAGUGAAAGACGGUCUUGCUGUCACUUAUAGAUGGAUCCGCGCUGCAUUAGCUAGUUGGUAAGGUAACGGCUUACCAAGGCAACGAUGCAUAGCCGACCUGAGAGGGUGAUCGGACACACUGGAACUGAGACACGGUCCAGACUCCUACGGGAGGCAGCAGUAGGGAAUCUUCCGCGAAGGGCGAAAGCCUGACGGAGCAACGCCGCGUGAGUGAUGAAGGUCUUCGGAUCGUAAAACUCUGUUAUUAGGGAAGAACAUAUGUGUAAGUAACUGUGCACAUCUUGACGGUACCUAAUCAGAAAGCCACGGCUAACUACGUG
rnacentral:rRNA from 1 species